UGAGGAAUAAGCAUCGGCUAACUCCGUGCCAGCAGCCGCGGUAAUACGGAGGAUGCAAGCGUUAUCCGGAAUGAUUGGGCGUAAAGCGUCCGCAGGUGGCUAUGUAAGUCUGCUGUUAAAGAGUCUAGCUCAACUAGAUAAAAGCAGUGGAAACUACAUGGCUAGAGUGCGUUCGGGGCAGAGGGAAUUCCUGGUGUAGCGGUGAAAUGCGUAGAGAUCAGGAAGAACACCGGUGGCGAAAGCGCUCUGCUAGGCCGCAACUGACACUGAGGGACGAAAGCUAGGGGAGCGAAUGGGAUUAGAUACCCCAGUAGUCCUAGCCGUAAACGAUGGAUACUAGGCGUGGCUUGUAUCGACCCGAGCCGUGCCGUAGCUAACGCGUUAAGUAUCCCGCCUGGGGAGUACGCACGCAAGUGUGAAACUCAAAGGAAUUGACGGGG
rnacentral:rRNA from 1 species